AUUGAUGAUAGGGGAUUUGCAUAUAUUUCAAAACUUUGGUUUAUGGCAAUAUAUACAUCGAUUGUGCUGAGCAAGACACAAAUAUAUGUCAUUAAUUUUUUGAAAGCGAUCAACGUAACUUGCAUUAGGGUUUUUAGACCUAUAUAAGACAUGUCUUCCAUCUUUCUUACUCAAAACCUAAAUACAAAACCUAAGCAUUCUUCUAUAAUGGCUGCGAUAAGUUGAUAAUGACUCAUAUAUCCUAAACCUCUACACAUAAGUUGUGACCAAUGAAAAGUCCAAAAAAUUCAAUCUAAAACCAAAUUGAUGUCCACAUUAAAUAGAUCUAAUGUCUUCUUAUUUUAUAAAUAACAAAAUUAUCACCUAGUGUCAUAUAUUUGGGAGUACUACGCAUGUCAUUGGUCAUUAAGCCAGACCCGUAUGGGAAAUAUAAAUUCUCAGUUGUCACUCAUUUGGGAGAUAAUGCCUAUCCUACUAAAUUAUUUCAUCGGUAGGAGAUCAAUACAACAAUGCAUCUUGUAUUUUCAUCGGGGAUUACUAGAAGAGACUUGACUAAUUUGAAGGUUAAGCUAAUAGCAGCAAAUAAUUAUAAAUUGAUUUUUUUGUUGCUAAAUUGUAAUUUUAUUUAAAGAAUUGAAAGUUCACGAGUUACAAUUUUCUUUAAUAGAUUGAUAGAUCUGAAACGAUUAGUCCACAUAAAAAAAAAAAAAAACAUGGAAAUAAAGACAAUUAGUACUCAAACACAUAUGUUUGCUAGCAUUAGAAUGUAAAAGUAACGAUAAUAACUUAGAGUCGAAUAAAGUUGAAGCCAUAAACGAGUCAAAAGGAGAGACACGAAAAAGAUUUAACAAAUGCUUAUGCAGGAAAAGAAAGUUAUUUCAUCUCGUAAGACAAACAAAGAAUCAUUCAUCUAAGCAGAUAGUAGAGACUGCAUCAAAGGUUGCCUUGAAAGUCUAAGCAACGACGUUCAACAAAAAAAACCUAGAUCCGACAUGAGUCAAGAUAACACUAACUGGCAGAGCUUAACAGCAGAUGCUCACUCUACCAAGUUCACUUUGGCUAGCACAUAGACAAUCCACAUCACCAUUCUGAAGCCUUACUGCCUCCUUUUAAAGCACUAAUAAUGAGGUAUAUAAACCAAACCAAUUUAUAAGACUAACUAACCAAACGUCCACACAAGCAAAACAAGUAAAAUCACUAAGCCAUUUCAAUUUCAAUGCCAAUCGGAGCUCUAAUAACGUUUGAAAUUGGAACCACUAGCAUCUGUAAAUUCAAGCAUUUGUAUUCUCAACCGCUAUCUAGUCAUGCUCUAACUAAGUUGCCUUAUUAUUUUUGCG
rnacentral:lncRNA from 1 species